AAUACGUAGGGGGCGAGCGUUGUCCGGAAUUAUUGGGCGUAAAGCGCGCGCAGGCGGUUCCUUAAGUCUGAUGUGAAAGCCCACGGCUCAACCGUGGAGGGUCAUUGGAAAUUGGGGGACUUGAGUGCAGGAGAGGAGAGCGGAAUUCCACGUGUAGCGGUGGAAUGCGUAGAGAUGUGGAGGAACAGCAGUGGCGAAGGCGGCUCUCUGGCCUGCAACUGACGCUGAGGCGUGAAAGCGUCGGGAGCAAACAGGAUUAGAUACCCUGGUACUCCACGCCGUAAACGAUGAGUGCUAAGUGUUAGAGGGGNCACACACUCUAGUGCUGCAACUAACGCGAUAAGCACUCCGCCUGGGGAGAACGGCCGCAAGGCUGAAACUCAAAGGAAUUGACGGGGGCCCGCACAA
rnacentral:rRNA from 1 species